rnacentral:rRNA from 1 species
ACUACAAGUGAAAAACUUAAAACUCAAAGGACUUGACGGUGUCCCAUAUCGACCUAGAGGAGCCUGUCCUAUAAUCGAUACCCCCCGCUCCACCCGACCCCAACUAGCAUACAUCAGCCUAUAUACCGCCGUCGAUCAGCCUACCCUAUGAAAGUCCAACAGUAGACACAAUAGCCCCACCGCUAAUACGUCAGGUCAAGGUGUAGCAAAUGUUGUGGAAGAGAUUGGCUACAUUUUUUAUUAUAAAAAAUACGAAAUAUAUCAUGAAACAGUAUAUGAAGGUGAAUUUAGUAGUAAAAUAAACAAGAGUGUUUAUUUUAACAACGCUCUGGGACGCGUACACACCGCC